GACGAGCGCUGGCGGCGUGCCUAAUACAUGCAAGUCGAGCGGACUUUCAAGAAGCUUGCUUUUUGAAAGUUAGCGGCGGACGGGUGAGUAACACGUGGGCAACCUGCCUGUAAGACGGGGAUAACUCCGGGAAACCGGGGCUAAUACCGGAUAAUAUCUUUCUUCGCAUGAAGGAAGGUUGAAAGGCGGCGCAAGCUGCCGCUUGCAGAUGGGCCCGCGGCGCAUUAUCUAGUUGGUGAGGUAACGGCUCACCAAGGCGACGAUGCGUAGCCGACCUGAGAGGGUGAUCGGGCCAACUGGGACUGAGACCAGGGCCAGACUCCUACGGGGGGCAGCAGUAGGGAAUCUUACGCAAUGGACGAAAGUCUGACGGAGCAACGCCGCGUGAGCGAAGAAGGUCUUCGGAUCGUAAAGCUCUGUUUUCAGGGAAGAACAAGUACCGUUCGAAUAGGGCGGUACCUUGACGGUACCUGACCAGAAAGCCACGGCUAACUACGUGCCAGCCGCCGCAGUAA
rnacentral:rRNA from 1 species